ensembl:lncRNA
AGGAGGCCGAGUGAGGAGCCACACACACGCACACGCACACGCACACACAGAUUUAACACUGUUCUCCGGUUUCAGCGCUGGUUCAGGCAGCAGUAGAACCUGCAGUGCACAUUCACCUGUGAAACGAUAAUUAUAGCUCCUCACCUGAGGAGCCUUGUCUCAGAAAGGCCUCAAACAGGUCGACCCAGCAUGACUCCCUGCAGCCACACCUGAUUCCUCAGCAGGGCGAGAUCAGCGGGGCGUCACCUGCACAGACGAGGACACCAGCAUGUAUAAAACCGGAGCUUGUCCAUCCAUAAACACGGUCUGAACACGACAGCAGCCAUGGCAGAUUUUGUAAAAAAUAUGUUGGGAAAUGACGGGAUGAGAGAUAUGGUUGCAUCGGAAACAGGUAAAGUGGUGGAGGGCUUCGUGAAGAAAGCAAUGGGUGGAGAAGGAGGAGACCAGAAGGAAGAGGGGGCAGGUGAUGUUGUAGGCACCUUGAUGAGCGCUGUGACUGGAGGAGGAGACAAGAAGGAAGAGGGGGCAGGUGAUGUUGUAGGCACCUUGAUGAGCGCUGUGACUGGAGGAGGAGACAAGAAGGAAGGGGAGGGAGGGCUGGAUGUGUCGAAAGCUUUGGGAGGACUCUUUUAAGUAGAAACCCAACAGACCAGACUCUCUUUCAGCUUCAUCAAACCCUCAGCUCUUCCCAAACUACUGGAAAACAAUUACCUUCAUUAUUUACACUUGAUUUGUUGCACUUCCAUUUUAAAUGUUGCACCACAUUUGGGGUUGAGAAAAUAAACACAAAAAGCCACAAAAAAGUGAUAAAAACUGAUUAAAUCUGAAUAACACACAUAAACUGAUUUAUAAUCUGAUUUUUAAAAGGGUCACUAUCAGUAUUUUGUGUUAUUUUGCUAUCUUGAAUUAAAUAACUUAAAACAUGAGUGAAAAUGUUCUCCUGUGUUUUAUUUUGCUAAUGGUUUCUUGAAUAUUUUUUGCUCUAUUAUAUUCAGCUUAAACUGAGCCUCUGAUUUGGUGAAUUGAGAGGAAAACAAACUUAUUGUUGGGCUGCACAGUGGCGUGGUGGUUUGCACUCUCACCUUGCAGCUAGAAGAUCCUCGGUUCUGCAUGGAGCUUGCAUGUUCUCCCUGUGCAUGCGUGAGUUUGCUACGGCUACUCCAGCUUCCUUCCACUGUCCAAAAAUAUGCUGAGGUUAAUUUAUUAUUGUAAAUUGCCCGUGAUUGAAUGUGAGUGCAAUUGUUUGUCUGUAUAUGUAGCCCUGCAACCUGUCCAGGGUGUCUCCUGCCUUUGCCCCAAAUCAGCUGGGAUAGACUCCAGUCCCCCCUUAACUUACUGUACUUUCCCAGACGUGUUUGUAGUUUCAAUGAAUGUUUUGUAUGAAUCAACAGAUAAUAAAAACAACCGCCUCCAGUGUGAAACAUGAAUGUUCAUUUAGAUGAAUUAAAUUAAACAUAAUGGCAUGCAGAGAUGAACCUGAAGAGCAAUUAAAGGUA